rnacentral:rRNA from 1 species
AUUUAACGCUGGCGGCAGGCCUAACACAUGCAAGUCGAACGAGUGGCGGACGGGUGAGUAAUGUCUGGGAAACUGCCUGAUGGAGGGGGAUAACUACUGGAAACGGUAGCUAAUACCGCAUACCAUCGGAUGUGCCCAGAUGGGAUUAGCUAGUAGGUGGGGUAACGGCUCACCUAGGCGACGAUCCCUAGCUGGUCUGAGAGGAUGACCAACCACACUGGAACUGAGACACGGUCCAGACUCCUACGUGAGGCAGCAGUGGGGAAUAUUGCACAAUGGGCGCAAGCCUGAUGCAGCCAUGCCGCGGGUAUGAAGAAGGCCUGCGGGUUGUAAAGUACUUUCAGCGAGGAGGCGUUACCCGCAGAAGAAGCACCGGCUAACUCCGUGCCAGCAGCCGCGGUAAUAC